AAUGAAGCUUCGAUUGCUGAUGUUAUUAUUUACAGCGAUAAAGCUUAUUUUUCUGAGUACAAUGACCCUUUGUACGACCACAAAGAGUUUGAAAUGGAUUUUUAAAUCAAUUUUGAAAAAUUAUCCUCGCGGUCCUUCUUGACAGAAAAGCUCCUACUUGACAGCUCCUUCCAAGGGGACCAUAGUUGAUCCAUAGACUAAUUAAAGACUAAACACUCCGAACAUUUUUUAAAAAAAAUAUGACUCAUAUGCUGUGAACCGCGUGAACCACGUUGAACCGCAUCGGCUUACCCCCCGUAUGACAGAUUUCCUUGGCCGCACUGCCUUUUUCAAUUUUGCUUUGUGCUGUUUUGCGCGCGCAUCGCAUCGAGGCGCGCAUCGUGUUUGUUUUUGUUUUCGCAUCAGCUGGGCGGUGGAAUUUUUGUUUUUGUUGCCGAACUCCUUCGAUUAUUAUUCAAACAAAAUGGGAUUUCGCUGUCAUGUCCUUGACCACGCCCGUGCACCGGCCUCCCAGAUAAAUGGAGCGGGGUCAUUCGGUGCCCACUACCACCAAAACAAGUUGAAGGAACUUCAGUUGGAAAAGCAAGAACUGGCGGAGAAGAAUGCUCGAGGGAAGGCGUGAAAUGACCAGGCUGAAGAGUGCCGUUACCGUUCCUCAAGGACGUGUGCAAGAAGAAGGCUUCCCUACCAACGUAGACCCUGCCACCGAGAAGAACCGCAUCCGCGAGGGGAAGGCCCAACCUGGGGCUACCGCAGCCAAGUUGUCGACUUAUGUGUGGUGUAUUUGUGUGUACGUUACUGAUGUAAAUUUGUGGUUAAGUUUUAAUUGAAAAUAUAUAAAAUUUACAGCUUUU